rnacentral:tRNA from 1 species
GUGGGUAUAGUUCAAAAAGAACAUUAGAUUGUGAUUCUAAAAAUAAAGGUUAAAACCCUUUUACCCACC